rnacentral:rRNA from 1 species
GAUCAUGGCUCAGGAUGAACGCUAGCUACAGGCUUAACACAUGCAAGUCGCGGGGCAGCAUUCCUUAGCUUGCUAAGGAAGAUGGCGACCGGCGCACGGGUGAGUAACGCGUAUCCAACCUUCCCAUGUCCACGGGAUAGCCCGUCGAAAGGCGGAUUAAUACCGUAUGAGGUCACAUGCGGGCAUCUAAGUGUGACGAAAGGUUUAGCGGACAUGGAUGGGGAUGCGUCCGAUUAGCUUGUUGGCGGGGUAACGGCCCACCAAGGCGACGAUCGGUAGGGGUUCUGAGAGGAAGGUCCCCCACAUUGGAACUGAGACACGGUCCAAACUCCUACGGGAGGCAGCAGUGAGGAAUAUUGGUCAAUGGACGCAAGUCUGAACCAGCCAAGUAGCGUGCAGGAUGACGGCCCUAUGGGUUGUAAACUGCUUUUAUGCGGGGAUAAAGUGUGGGACGUGUCCCAUAUUGUAGGUACCGCAUGAAUAAGGACCGGCUAAUUCCGUG